rnacentral:rRNA from 1 species
UAGGGAAUCUUCCACAAUGGACGCAAGUCUGAUGGAGCAACGCCGCGUGAGUGAAGAAGGUUUCGGACCGUAAAGCUCUGUUGUUGGUGAAGAAGGAUAGAGGUAGUAAACUGGCCUUUAUUUGACGGUAAUCAACCAGAAAGUCACGGCUAACUACGUGCCAGCAGCCGCGGUAAUACGUAGGUGGCAAGCGUUGUCCGGAUUUAUUGGGCGUAAAGCGAGCGCAGGCGGAAGAAUAAGUCUGAUGUGAAAGCCCUCGGCUUAACCGAGGAAUUGCAUCGGAAACUGUUUUCUUGAGUGCAGAAGAGGAGAGU